UACAGAGGUCUCGAGCGUUAGGCGGAAUCACUGGGCUUAAAGCGUGUGUAGGCGGAUCGGUAAGUACCUUGUGAAAUCCACAGCUUAACUGUGGAACUGCUUGGUAUACUGCCAAGUCUUGAGCCACUUAGGGCUACCGGAACAAAUGGUGGAGCGGUGAAAUGCGUAGAUAUCAAUUGGAACGCCAAUGGUGAAACAUGGUAGCUGGGAGUGAUGCUGACGCUGGAGACACGAAGCCAGGGAGCAAACGGG
rnacentral:rRNA from 1 species